rnacentral:rRNA from 1 species
GAUGAACGCUGGCGGCGUGCCUAAUACAUGCAAGUCGAGCGAACGGACGAGAAGCUUGCUUCUCUGAUGUUAGCGGCGGACGGGUGAGUAACACGUGGAUAACCUACCUAUAAGACUGGGAUAACUUCGGGAAACCGUAGCUAAUACCGGAUAAUAUUUUGAACAGCAUGGUUCAAAAGUGAAAGACGGUCUUGCUGUCACUUAUAGAUGGAUCCGCGCUGCAUUAGCUAGUUGGUAAGGUAACGGCUUACCAAGGCAACGAUGCAUAGCCGACCUGAGAGGGUGAUCGGCCACACUGGAACUGAGACACGGUCCAGACUCCUACGGGAGGCAGCAGUAGGGAAUCUUCCGCAAUGGGCGAAAGCCUGACGGAGCAACGCCGCGUGAGUAAUGAAGGUCUUCGGAUCGUAAAACUCUGUUAUUAGGGAAGAACAUAUGUGUAAGUAACUGUGCACAUCUUGACGGUACCUAAUCAGAAAGCCACGGCUAACUACGUG